rnacentral:rRNA from 1 species
UUAAGCGACCAAGCGUACACGGUGGAUGCCCUGGCAGUCAGAGGCGAUGAAGGACGUGCUAAUCUGCGAAAAGCGCCGGUAAGGUGAUAUGAACCGUUAUAACCGGCGAUGUCCGAAUGGGGAAACCCAGUGUGACUCGUCACACUAUCAUUAACUGAAUCCAUAGGUUAAUGAGGCGAACCGGGGGAACUGAAACAUCUAAGUACCCCGAGGAAAAGAAAUCAACCGAGAUUCCCCCAGUAGCGGCGAGCGAACGGGGAGCAGCCCAGAGCCUGAAUCAGCAUAUGUGUUAGUGGAAGCGUCUGGAAAGGCGCGCGAUACAGGGUGACAGCCCCGUACACAAAAGCGCAUAUGCUGUGAGCUCGAUGAGUAGGGCGGGACACGUGGUAUCCUGUCUGAAUAUGGGGGGACCAUCCUCCAAGGCUAAAUACUCCUGACUGACCGAUAGUGAACCAGUACCGUGAGGGAAAGGCGAAAAGAACCCCGGCGAGGGGAGUGAAACAGAACCUGAAACCGUGUACGUACAAGCAGUGGGAGCCCCACCACCAAAGCGUUUCGCUUUGCGUGGUGCGCAAAAUGCGUAACGACAGCACGAUUGCGGUUAACGGAGCGUAAGCGACGUUCAACACAAGAAUCAGGCAGUGGAGCGUUUUGGGGUGGGGUGACUGCGUACCUUUUGUAUAAUGGGUCAGCGACUUAUAUUCUGUAGCAAGGUUAACCGUAUAGGGGAGCCGGAGGGAAACCGAGUCUUAAUUGGGCGUUAAGUUGCAGGGUAUAGACCCGAAACCCGGUGAUCUAGCCAUGGGCAGGUUGAAGGUUGGGUAACACUAACUGGAGGACCGAACCGACUAAUGUUGAAAAAUUAGCGGAUGACCUGUGGCUGGGGGUGAAAGGCCAAUCAAACCGGGAGAUAGCUGGUUCUCCCCGAAAGCUAUUUAGGUAGCGCCUCGUGAAUUCAUCUCCGGGGGUAGAGCACUGUUUCGGCCAGGGGGCCAUCCCGGCUUACCAACCCGAUGCAAACUGCGAAUACCGGAGAAUGUUAUCACGGGAGACACACGGCGGGUGCUAACGUCCGUCGUGAAGAGGGAAACAACCCAGACCGCCAGCUAAGGUCCCAAAGUCAUGGUUAAGUGGGAAACGAUGUGGGAAGGCCCAGACAGCCAGGAUGUUGGCUUAGAAGCAGCCAUCAUUUAAAGAAAGCGUAAUAGCUCACUGGUCGAGUCGGCCUGCGCGGAAGAUGUAACGGGGCUAAACCAUGCACCGAAGCUGCGGCAGCGACACUAAGUGUUGUUGGGUAGGGGAGCGUUCUGUAAGCCUGUGAAGGUGUGUCGUGAGGCAUGCUGGAGGUAUCAGAAGUGCGAAUGCUGACAUAAGUAACGAUAAUGCGGGUGAAAAACCCGCACGCCGGAAGACCAAGGGUUCCUGUCCAACGUUAAUCGGGGCAGGGUGAGUCGACCCCUAAGGCGAGGCCGAAAGGCGUAGUCGAUGGGAAACGGGUUAAUAUUCCCGUACCUGGUGUUACUGCGAAGGGGGGACGGAGAAGGCUAUGUUGGCCGGGCGACGGUUGUCCCGGUUUAAGCGUGUAGGCUGGUUUUCCAGGCAAAUCCGGAAAAUCAAGGCUGAGGCGUGACGACGAGGCACUACGGUGCUGAAGCAACAAAUGCCCUGCUUCCAGGAAAAGCCUCUAAGCCUCAGGUAACAUCAGAUCGUACCCGAAACCGACACAGGUGGUCAGGUAGAGAAUACCAAGGCGCUUGAGAGAACCCGGGUGAAGGAACUAGGCAAAAUGGUGCCGUAACUUCGGGAGAAGGCACGCUGACAUGUAAGUGAAGCGGUUUACCCGUGGAGCUGAAGUCAGUCGAAGAUACCAGCUGGCUGCAACUGUUUAUUAAAAACACAGCACUGUGCAAACACGAAAGUGGACGUAUACGGUGUGACGCCUGCCCGGUGCCGGAAGGUUAAUUGAUGGGGUCAGCGCAAGCGAAGCUCCUGAUCGAAGCCCCGGUAAACGGCGGCCGUAACUAUAACGGUCCUAAGGUAGCGAAAUUCCUUGUCGGGUAAGUUCCGACCUGCACGAAUGGCGUAAUGAUGGCCAGGCUGUCUCCACCCGGGACUCAGUGAAAUUGAACUCGCUGUGAAGAUGCAGUGUACCCGCGGCAAGACGGAAAGACCCCGUGAACCUUUACUAUAGCUUGACACUGAACACUGGUCCUUGAUGUGCAGGAUAGGUGGGAGGCUUUGAAGUGUGGACGCCAGUCUGCAUGGAGCCGUCCUUGAAAUACCACCCUUUAAUGGCUGGUGUUCUAACGUAGACCCGUGAACCGGGUUGCGGACAGUGUCUGGUGGGUAGUUUGACUGGGGCGGUCUCCUCCUAAAGCGUAACGGAGGAGCACGAAGGUUGGCUAAUCCUGGUCGGACAUCAGGAGGUUAGUGCAAUGGCAUAAGCCAGCUUGACUGCGAGCGUGACGGCGCGAGCAGGUGCGAAAGCAGGUCAUAGUGAUCCGGUGGUUCUGAAUGGAAGGGCCAUCGCUCAACGGAUAAAAGGUACUCCGGGGAUAACAGGCUGAUACCGCCCAAGAGUUCAUAUCGACGGCGGUGUUUGGCACCUCGAUGUCGGCUCAUCACAUCCUGGGGCUGAAGUAGGUCCCAAGGGUAUGGCUGUUCGCCAUUUAAAGUGGUACGCGAGCUGGGUUUAGAACGUCGUGAGACAGUUCGGUCCCUAUCUGCCGUGGGCGCUGGAGAACUGAGGGGGGCUGCUCCUAGUACGAGAGGACCGGAGUGGACGCAUCACUGGUGUUCGGGUUGUCAUGCCAAUGGCACUGCCCGGUAGCUAAAUGCGGAAGAGAUAAGUGCUGAAAGCAUCUAAGCACGAAACUUGCCCCGAGAUGAGUUCUCCCUGAGACUACAAGUCUCCUGAAGGAACGUUGAAGACGACGACGUUGAUAGGCCGGGUGUGUAAGCGCAGCGAUGCGUUGAGCUAACCGGUACUAAUGAACCGUGAGGCUUAACCUU